rnacentral:rRNA from 1 species
GACAGAGGGUGCGAACGUUGUUCGGAAUUACUGGGCGUAAAGCGCGUGUCGGCGGCAAUGCAAGUCGGGCGUGAAAUCCCACGGCUCAACCGUGGAAGUGCACUCGAAACUGCAUAGCUAGAGUCCUGGAGAGGAAGGUGGAAUGCUUGGUGUAGAGGUGAAAUUCGUAGAUAUCAAGCGGAACACCGGUGGCGAAGGCGGCCUUCUGGACAGUGACUGACGCUGAGACGCGAAAGCGUGGGGAGCAAACAGG